AAUUAAAUGGGUUAACCCAUUUAACAACUCAACCCAUCAAAUAAAAUGGGUUGGGUCAACCCAUAACUCAUUUAACCCUAAACUCAUUUGAUUAUGAGUUGAGUUGAGUUGGGUUACCCAUUUUGACACCUCUAGUUCGGAUAUAAACUAAACAAUUGUGUUCUGAAUUGAACCGAUUGUUUUCGGGUUAACUGAACAUUAUUUACAUAGAAUAGCUAAACCCAAAAAAAUUAAAAUUUCACGACAAUAUACAAGCCCAUUAAUAUAUUAAUGAUUCGCCUAAAUAGGCUGUUGUAAGAUAUAAAAUUAAGUUUUAAUCUGUAGUAUUUGAAUACGGAAAAAAUCAAUAGUAUUUGAAUUUUGAAUUUUGAA
rnacentral:sRNA from 1 species